UCAAGAUACGUACAGAUACGUAUCCCAGAUAGAAAAAUUGUGAAAUAAAUGCACAAUUAUUGCAUCUUUCUAUUUACCUCCACUUCGUAAAGUUGCAAAGUAAUUCCACAAAACACAUACGUUUUGCUGAAAACAAAUUUUGUAAUUAUAAUUUGUAAAUAUCGAGAAAGUUGUAAAAGAAAUUACUUUCCAUAAUUAUUACAUUAUAUUAAGAAUAAAUUUAAAAAUUUUGAAUUUAUUUAUUACGUAAUUGUUACGACAUUGUAUUGAGAAAUAAAUUUUGAAUUUGACUAAUUAUUGCAGCAUUGUAUUGAGAAAUAAAUUUUUAAAUUUAUGUGCAUAAUUAUUACGACAUUGUAUUAAAACAUUAAAAAUUGUUAAAUUUAUUUUUUAAUUAGUUGUACUAGUUAUUUCACAAUAAUUUGAAAAAAACUUUAAUAUAAAUUUUAAAUAAUUAAAAUUUUUAAUAAAUAAAACUUUAUUUAUUAUGCAGGUAUAAUGCAACAUAGGGCUUAUAUUGCUUUUUUUAAUAAUACAAUUAGCCAUAAAAAGUAUACCGCAAAGCUGUCUAAAUCGGAAUAUCUUCGUAAUGGCUGAUUGCAGAUGAUAAUUAACAUUGCAAUUAUUGAAUAAAGAAUAUGAAGGUUUUCUAUUACACCAUAUGUUAUAUGGUGGUAGUCGAGGAUUGAUUUGGAAUGGUUGAGUUACUGUUUUUAGUCAUCGGUUCUUACUUGCAAUACUUAAGUUGAUUUGCGGAUGCAAAGAUAAGAAUCAAUUGCCAAACCCAAUAACUAAACCAUUUCGAAUCGCCACAUGCUCUUUUCUGAUAUUCUUUAUUCAAUGAUUGUAACACAAGAUACCAAGCAUUUAAAGAAAUCUCACGAGUACCACGAGAGUGCAGAUAUUAGACUGGAAAUAGCUGGACUAAGUGGAAUCACAGGUGUUAAAUUGCGAGCUUGUAAUCUGUAACAUAAUACAAAGAAAGAAAGAAGAAAAAUACUUCGAAGCAAACAGACUGCAGUCAAUGUCACACGAUGUCACUCGUUUAAGAGAGCGAACUGAAACGAACAUCGCGAUACGUGAUGCCAGUAACCGAUAGAAAAAGAGUGAGACUAUCAAACGAAUUCGGGCAGCUUUGAGAAAUAGCCGAACAGUUGAUUUUUGCAGAUAUUCAAAGAUAUAUGGUAGUAUAUUAAAGAAAAUUGCCAAUAUUGACACAGACUUCCUUAAAAACAUUGUUACCUUAGAUAAUUAAAGAAAUAAAAACUCAUAUAUAUUCAUUAUAUAUGUUUAUUUUGUCUAUAAAAAAUCUAAAAACAAAUUUAAUUUCUUUAUACAUAUGUAAUUGCGCUGCAUGUUGUGUAUUGGAACAGCAUAAGAUGUUUGUACAAUUGACAUAUAAAAUUUUAUACCGAAAUGUAAGGUUGUUAGAAAUUCUAAUAUACAUACAUUAUCUUGUAAAUUUUUGUGACUCGUGUUAAAAGAAAAGAAAUGGAAAGUGUAGUCUACUAUAUGUCAGUAGUAAUACUAAAUAGUCAGUUUUCAGACUCAAUUUCUCAGAUGUGUAUUUUUUACUAUAAAACCAUUAAUUAUUACAAAAUGAAAACGAUAUAAAAACUGUUAUAUUAUCUGAAUCUAUAGAAGAGAUUUCCUAGUUCGCAUAUUUUUUAUAUCUUUAAAAUGUGAUUUUUAGCUUUUAUUUAAGAAACACUAUCUAAAGACCGAUAUGCCAAUAUUGAGGACCUUUUCCUAGUUUAUAAAAUAUCACAUAACAUAUUGUCUAGUAUAAUAUAUUUUGUAACAUUACAUUUUAUUACAGAAGAAAUAAGUGAAUAAUUAACGGAUAAGGAUAUAUUAUCAAAAAUUGAUAUAUUUAUUGUUGUAUUUUUUAUUCAACUGCGUUCAUUUUGCAACGUUAGAUUUUUAUACACAAUAAAUAGUUGCAUAAUUACACUUA